GAUGAAGAACGUAGCGAAAUGCGAUAAGUAAUGUGAAUUGCAGAAUUCAGUGAAUCAUCGAGUCUUUGAACGCACAUUGCGCCCCCUGGUAUUCCGGGGGGCAUGCCUGUUCGAGCGUCAUUUCACCACUCAAGCCUCGCUUGGUAUUGGGCAACGCGGUCCGCCGCGUGCCUCAAAUCGUCCGGCUGGGUCUUCUGUCCCCUAAGCGUUGUGGAAACUAUUCGCUAAAGGGUGUUCGGGAGGCUACGCCGUAAAACAACCCCAUUUCUAAGGUUGACCUCGGAUCAGGUAGGGAUACCCGCUGAACUUAAGCAUAUCAAUAAGCGGAGGA
rnacentral:misc_RNA from 1 species